rnacentral:tRNA from 1 species
GCAUUUUUAGUAUAUUUAGUACAAAUACCUUCCAAGUAUUAAGUUUAUUUUUAAAUAAUGCA